rnacentral:rRNA from 1 species
UACGUAGGCAGCGAGCGUUGUUCGGAUUUACUGGGCGUAAAGAGUGCGUAGGCGGUUUUCUAAGUUUGGUGUGAAAUCUCCCGGCUUAACUGGGAGGGUGCGCCGAAAACUGGAAGGCUUGAGUAUGGGAGAGGUAAGCGGAAUUCCUGGUGUAGCGGUGAAAUGCGUAGAUAUCUGGAGGAACACCGGUGGCGAAGGCGGCAUCCUGGACCGGCAUUGACGCUGAGGAGCGAAUGCCAGGGGAGCAAACGGG